rnacentral:pre_miRNA from 1 species
ACUCGAGGGGUGGAAAGCUGUAACGCUAAUGGUAUGAAGAACGCAUAAGCGUAUAGCUUUUCCCCUUCGGUU